rnacentral:misc_RNA from 1 species
GAUUUGCUAUCUGGCGAAACGCUUGAUGUCAGCCACCAAGCUUAGUGUAUUGCCCACCAGGAGACACAUUUGCCGUCAGCCACCUAGCUUAGUGUAUUGCCCACCAGGAGACACAUUUGCCGUCAGCCACCUAGCUGAGUGCGAGUGGCUGCCAACAGACAAUCAUCAUCCGGCCAAGAUGAGUGCAAGAAAGUGGUUGUCAGUGAUGCUGCUGGUUGUGGGGCCGUUGACGUUAACUACAGCUCAACUACAGCCUCAGGAUGACGAAUAUAAGGGUAACUGGAGAUAUCAACUGGUAAAGUGUUAUAAGUUGCCUUAUAUUGGUAGCGAAGAAACAGUUUCUCUGAACUUGAGUUUGUCGGCGGGGACGGAGGACAUCUCAGCCCGUUGGAACGAGGUGCCGGAGGCCAGCAGCUACAGCAUCACCUGGACUCCGGAGGACAACGGUGGGACGGCCACUGUCAACGGCAGUAGCAACACUCAAUACAGUAUCAAAGGCCUCAAGGCGUGUACUGACUACACCGUCACUGUCCAGGCCAUUAAUGAGACCGACGCCGGUGAUUCUGAAAAUGCAAAUGCAACCACGAAAGCAAAAGGCUCGCUGGACUUGAGUUUGAGAGCGGACCUGGAUGAGAUCUGGGUGUCUUGGAGUCCGUUCCCGAACGCCACUUCCUAUAUCAUCACCUGGAGCCCUGAGGACAACGGUGGGGCGGCCUGUGCCGGCAACGUCGACUCCAAUUAUACCAUUUCAAGCCUUGAGAUGUGCACUUGGUACACCGUCACUGUCCAGGCGUGGGAUCAAGAUAGCCAUGUCUUAUGUUCCAACAGUGAUAGCAUCAGGACGGAUGAAGAUUUGUUGCAGUUGAGUUUAUCGGCGGGGACGGAGGAUAUCUCAGCCCGUUGGAACGAGGUGCCGGAGGCCAGCAGCUACAGCAUCACCUGGACUCCGGAGGACAACGGUGGGACGGCCACUGUCAACGGCAGUAGCAACUCUCAAUACAGUAUCAAAGGCCUCAAGCCGUGUACUAACUACUCCGUCACUGUCCAGGCUAUGAAAGAAACUGGCAAUGUUGGGUGUUCAGAGACCGACACAAGAAUCACGAAUAUCAAAGAGUUGCUGGACUUGAGUUUGUCCGCGGGAACGGAAAGCAUCACAGCCCAUUGGAAUGAGGUGCCGGACGCCAGCUUCUACACCAUCACCUGGACUCAGGUGGACAACAAUGGGACAGACAUUGUCGACGUUGUAAACAGUACGAUAUAUACUAUCGAAGGUCUCAUGCCGUGUACGGUCUACAGAGUCACUGUCCAGGCGAUGAAUGAUGCCCGUAAUGUAGGGUGUUUGGAUACCGUCAAGAGUCGCACGAAAACCAAUGCUCCAGAAUCUUUUAGAGCUGAAAGUAUUAAAACGAAGAAGGUUACCUUGUCUUGGAGUGACGCCAACACGGAGUGCCAGGCACUGGGGUACCAGCUCUCGUACGGCACUACAGUGGUCAAUGUGUCCGCCAACACUCACCAGUAUACUGUGACGGGCCUCAACGCUAAGAAGUCAUACAGCUUUUCUCUGAAGACUGUCACCAACUCUGGGGAGAGUGAGAACGUCUCCCUGACAAUAAGUACCAAGGUGGACGGCGUAGCUAUCGGCGUCGGGGUCUCGGUCGGGGUCCUGGUGGUGGUGGUGGCUGCUGUACUUGGAUACAUCUACAGAGAUAAGCUGAGGUGCUCUCGGGAGGGCUCGAAGGAAUUCGAUCACAGGACGCAUCUGAAUCUUGAACCCAUCGCCGCUUCCACAUCCAGAGGUGUCGAGAACGACUACCCAUAUUACAAACACAAAAAAGGCACUGUGAUGGUGUUGAAGGACAUGAUCUGCGAGAACCCGGACGAGGACUCUGAAGAAGAGAUAUAUACGAAAUUCGACUAGGAAGGAUCGGCGUCUCUACAAUGUCUUGUAAUGGCUAUAAUGACUAAGCUGAUCAAGGUCGGCGUUCGAUGCGUGACUCUCAAGGUGGUGGGCCGCCGCUCCUUAACCCACUGUUCCUGUACGAGCUUCUUGUGCUUGUAUCCUCGCCAAGUGCUGUGUAGUCAUGCUGGUUGACCUGUGUAGUCAAGGUUCUCAUUUCUUACCUGUUAUAGAUUCGAGAAAAUGCAGCCGAAGGAAAGGGAUGAUUGUUGGCAGGUGUCAGAGAGAUGGGUCUGAAUUUUCGUGAAUUAGGCUUGGAUAUGGGUAUUAGGAGUCCCUGUGUCCAGCGGUCAGGUAAGACACCCUGCCUGAGACUUUAAUUAAACAAUUCUAGCAAAGGGAGCCGGAGCCGGUCUAUAAGGAGCCGGUCGGCCGAGCGGACAGCACGCUGUACUUGUGAU